UACGUAGGGUGCGAGCGUUAAUCGGAAUUACUGGGCGUAAAGUGUGCGCAGGCGGCAGAGCAAGUCGAGUGUGAAAGCCCCGGGCUUAACUUGGGAAUUGCGCUCGAAACUACUUUGCUGGAGUGUGGCAGAGGAAAGUGGAAUUCCUGGUGUAGCGGUGAAAUGCGUAGAUAUCAGGAGGAACACCGGUGGUGUAGACGGCUUUCUGGACCGUAACUGACGCUGAGACACGAAAGCGUGGGUAGCAAACAGG
rnacentral:rRNA from 1 species